AGUGAACGCUGGCGGCGUGCUUAACACAUGCAAGUCGAACGAGAACGGAUUAUAGCUUGCUAUAAUUGUCAGCUAAGUGGCGCACGGGUGAGUAAUAUAUAGGUAACGUGCCCCAAAGAAGAGGAUAACAGAUGGAAACGUCUGCUAAGACUCUAUAUGCCUUUAUGACAUAAGUCAGCAAGGGAAAUAUUUAUAGCUUUGGGAUCGGCCUGUACAGUAUCAGUUAGUUGGUGAGGUAAUGGCUCACCAAGACAAUGACGCUUAACUGGUUUGAGAGGAUGGUCAGUCACACUGGAACUGAGACACGGUCCAGACUCCUACGGGAGGCAGCAGUGGGGAAUAUUGCACAAUGGACGAAAGUCUGAUGCAGCAACGCCGCGUGGAGGAUGACACAUUUCGGUGCGUAAACUCCUUUUAUAUAGGAAGAUAAUGACGGUACUAUAUGAAUAAGCACCGGCUAACUCCGUG
rnacentral:rRNA from 1 species